GAUGAACGCUAGCUACAGGCUUAACACAUGCAAGUCGAGGGGUAACAAGAGGAAAGCUUGCUUUUCUUGUUGACGACCGGCGCACGGGUGAGUAACGCGUAUCCAACCUGCCUAUAACUAGGGAAUAACCUUGCGAAAGUAAGACUAAUACCCUAUGAUUUCCUUUGAUGGCAUCAGAUUAGGAAUAAAGAUUUAUCGGUUAUAGAUGGGGAUGCGUCUGAUUAGCUUGUUGGCGGGGUAACGGCCCACCAAGGCAACGAUCAGUAGGGGUUCUGAGAGGAAGGUCCCCCACAUUGGAACUGAGACACGGUCCAAACUCCUACGGGAGGCAGCAGUGAGGAAUAUUGGUCAAUGGGCGGAAGCUUGAACCAGCCAAGUAGCGUGCAGGAUGACGGCCCUAUGGGUUGUAAACUGCUUUUAUACAGGAAUAAAGUUAGCCACGUGUGGUUAUUUGUAGGUACUGUAUGAAUAAGGACCGGCUAAUUCCGUGCCAGCCGCCGCUGUAA
rnacentral:rRNA from 1 species